UUUAUUUUUUUAUAGUUGAUAGAAAAUUCUGACCUUCAACCAGAUUCUGAAUCAGUUAUCUUCUCUGUCUGCACAAAAAUCCACACGUUCUCACAUCAGUGCAGUUUGUGCUUCACGCUGCAGAUGAGCUUCGUUAUUAAUAAUAUGAUGCUGAGAGGUUUCCAAGCAGAGGUCUGAGGAGCUGUGAGACCUCCUGCCCAUCAUCUGCCCAGGUGUGUUUUAUGAGCACAAACCAUUAAAAACGUGCCAAUACUUCACAGGAACUGAAAGUAGAAGUGCUGCUGCAGAGGUCCAACUGGGAUCCGUCACCUGGUGGACUUGUUCUGCAGAGCUUCAGUUUACAGCUCAGGAUCAUCUUUGGUGCAGAAGACGUCAUCACUAAUGAGCAGGUAGUGGAGAACCUAAACCUUUGGACUCCUUUCCCUGUUCAAGAAACUCCACGACAGUUGGAGCAGGAUCCACCCACCCCA